UCACUGAGCAACCGAGGGGAGAACUGCAAACAUUCCUGCGCUGUUACCCUGCGGCAGCGGCGUCUGCGGGCCUCCCCUUUUCCCAGAUGCUGCUCUGAUGCAGGAAGAUCAUUUCUCGUAUAUAAUCAACUUUAUAACAGGAGGAGGUUUGGAUAGCUUGUUCUUGACUUAUGUGUAGAUGAGGAAAGUCAUGAAGAAGAGAGUCUGCAGCAGGAGUCUCCCAAGUGGGAAUGAAUGGACUGAUCGGAAGUCAUGGGAGCAUUUGUACACAGUGAAGAAAAGCAUCAUGGAUGACGUUUCAUUGCAGUGUUAGCUGAUGGCUGGGACAGAGCCGAUUAACUCUGCAGCAGCAGGGGGUGCAUCUCAGAGCUUCAUUGGAAGAGUAGCAGUGAACCACACAGGUGCUGCUGUACAUACAGGUGUCCCUUCAGUGCUUGGAGCCCGGAGGCAGACGUCUCCACUGCCUCUUGCAGUUACUUCCCUGACUGUAUAUAUAAUACUCGUACAUGUGUGCUCUAUAUAUAUGCUCGCUACUACAAAUCCUGCAUUUACCCCUGAUGUCAUCAUCCAAAAACACAGACCAAAAACAUCCUUCUUUAGAUGUAUUCACAACACAUCAGUUGUGCCAUCCCUUUAGUCACAUAAAUACACACAAACAAUAUUUAAAAAUAUAUAAUUUCAUUACAAUUAACAAUAUACUACAUAUUUACAAACAAAUUGCUUGCACAUACACUGUAUCAUUUAUUCCUUUUUUUUUUUUUUUUGCAACACUCACAUUUGUAGCAGCUUCAAUAUGCCUCUGUCUUCUUGUGACCCUCUGUGAUGUGUUCUGG